UACGUAGGGUGCAAGCGUUAAUCGGAAUUACUGGGCGUAAAGGGCUCGUAGGCGGCCAACUAAGUCAGACGUGAAAUCCCUAGGCUCAACCUAGGAACUGCGUCUGAUACUGGAUGGCUUGAAUCCGGGAGAGGGAUGCAGAAUUCCAGGUGUAGCGGUGAAAUGCGUAGAUAUCUGGAGGAAUACCGGUGGCGAAGGCGGCAUCCUGGACCGGCAUUGACGCUGAGGCGCGAAAGCGUGGGGAGCAAACGGG
rnacentral:rRNA from 1 species